UGGGGAAUAUUGGACAAUGGGCGAAAGCCUGAUCCAGCCAUGCCGCGUGUGUGAAGAAGGUCUUCGGAUUGUAAAGCACUUUAAGUUGGGAGGAAGGGCAGUAAGCGAAUACCUUGCUGUUUUGUCGUUACCGACAGAAUAAGCACCGGCUAACUCUGUGCCAGCAGCCGCGGUAAUACAGAGGGUGCAAGCGUUAAUCGGAAUUACUGGGCGUAAAGCGCGCGUAGGUGGUUCGUUAAGUUGAAUGUGAAAGCCCCGGGCUCAACCUGGGAACUGCAUCCAAAUCUGGCGAGCUAGAGUAGGGCAGAGGGUGGUGGAAUUUCCUGUGUAGCGGUGAAAUGCGUAGAUAUAGGAAGGAACACCAGUGGCGAAGGCGACCACCUGGGCUCAUACUGACACUGAGGUGCGAAAGCGUAGGGAGCAAACAGG
rnacentral:rRNA from 1 species